UACGUAGGGUGCAAGCAUUAAUCGGAAUUAUUGGGCGUAAAGGGCGCGUAGGCGGAAACGCAAGUCAGAUGUGAAAUUCCAAAGCUCAACUUUGGAGCUGCAUUUGAAACUGCGAUUCUUGGAGGUAUUACGGAGAAAGCGGAAUUCCACGUGUAGCGGUGAAAUGCGUAGAUAUGUGGAAGAACACCUGUGGCGAAAGCGGCUUUCUAGUUUUUACCUGACGCUGAGGCGCGAGAGCAAGGGGAGCAAACAGG
rnacentral:rRNA from 1 species